AUUGAACGCUGGCGGCAUGCCUUACACAUGCAAGUCGAACGGUAACAGGUUAAGCUGACGAGUGGCGAACGGGUGAGUAAUGUAUCGGAACGUGCCCAGUCGUGGGGGAUAACUGCUCGAAAGAGCUGCUAAUACCGCAUCCGACCUGAGGUUGAAUUCUGGGGCUCGCAAGACCUCGCGCGAUUGGAGCGUCCGAUAUCAGAUUAGGUAGUUGGUGAGGUAAAGGCUCACCAAGCCGACGAUCUGUAGCUGGUCUGAGAGGACGACCAGCCACACUGGGACUGAGACACGGCCCAGACUCCUACGGGAGGCAGCAGUGGGGAAUUUUGGACAAUGGGCGCAAGCCUGAUCCAGCCAUGCCGCGUGCGGGAAGAAGGCCUUCGGGUUGUAAACCGCUUUUGUCAGGGAAGAAAAGGUUCUGGCUAAUACCUGGGACUCAUGACGGUACCUGAAGAAUAAGCACCGGCUAACUACGUG
rnacentral:rRNA from 1 species